rnacentral:lncRNA from 1 species
GGUCCCAUGACAUGAAAUUCUCACUUUAUGAGGUUUUCUAACAUAAAUAUGAGUUCCCCUAGCCUGCCUGGCCCGCCAAUGAGACUCAACCGUGUGUGUGUGUGUGUGUGUGUGUGUGUGUGUGUGUGUGAAUACACACACUGUAACGCAAGUGUUUCUUGUCGGUUCUUUGACGUGUCUUGUAUUUCCACAACGAGACUGUUAUCUGAGCCAUGGUUGAGAAGGAAUUGGGGGAAAGGAACUUUGGCUUUGACUCGCUGAAGUACAUGAACUGCGACAUGCCGCCGGUUGCCGCGAGGCACCAUCGCCCGGCAGCGGGCAGCCGGCAGCAGGCAGCGCCCGGUUCAGUCGACUUCAGGUUGAUGUGAAAGUGGAAGAACCAGAGACGUCGCAGAACCCGACAAAGUCGUUUUUGAUUCAUAAUAUCGUCUGGAGGCGCACACAGCUUUUGGCCGAGAUAAUAUGUAUUCAAUGAUAUCGAUUUCUAUGUAUUAUAUGAUAUUAUUUAGAUAUAGAGCUCCAGGACUGUAACGCAAGUGUUGUAGGGGAGCCCGGGGGCAAUUGUAACACUUUUUGGUUUUAGUGUCAUUACUCAAAAACCUCUUGAACUAUUUAGAUAAUUUGUUAAUUUGGUCAAUGUGUAUCUGUACUCUACUUGUGAACAGUAAUAAUUUUCUUUUACAGGCAAUGUUAGAUUCACAAUAUCUCAUCAUCUCAUCUCAUUUUCGUCCGCUUAUCCGGGGUCGGGUCGCGGGGGGAGCAGCUCAAGCAGGGGGCCCCAGACUUCCCUUUCCCGGGCCACAUUGACCAACUCUGACGGGGGGAUCCCGAGGCGUUCCCAGGCCAGUGUUGAGAUAUAAUCUCUCCACCUAGUCCUGGGUCUUCACCGAGGUCUCCUCCCCACUGGACGUGCCUGAAACACCUCCCAAGGAAGGCGCCCAGUGGGCAUCCUUACCAGAUGCCCGAACCACCUCAGCUGACUCCUUUCUAAUUAAAGGAGCAGCGGCUCUAAUCCGAGUUCCUCACGGAUGGCUGAGCUUCUCACCCUAUCCCUAAGGGAGACGCCAGCCACCCUUCUGAGAAAACUCAUCUCGGCCGCUUGUACCCGCGAUCUCGUCCUUUCGGUCAUCACACAGCCCUCAUGACCAUAGGUGAGGAUAGGAACGAAGAUCGACCGGUAGAUCGAGAGCUUUGCCUUGCGGCUCAGCUCUCUUUUCGUUACAACAGUGCGGUAAAGCGAACGCAAUACCGCCCCCGCUGCUCCGAUUCUCCGGCCAAUCUCACGCUCCAUAGUACCCUCACUCGCGAACAAGACCCCGAGGUACUUGAACUCCUUCACUUGGGCUAAGGACUCAUUUCCUACCCGGAGUAAGCAAUCCAUCGG